UGUUCAUCUCAUCUCCCCCAUCUCAUUCUCUCUCUUUAUUCUCCCUCUGUUCUCUUUCUCUCUCUACGGUAAAGGGAUUUGUUAUUGUGACUAGAGACUUAGUUGCUUGCUUUAGAUUUUCUAAGUGUUUUGUUUUCUUUUUUUUUUUUUUUCAUUUGUUGUUCUUUGUUUUGCUUAGUUUUUUAGGUGUUUUGUUUUCUGUCUUUUUUUGUUUGCCUGAGUUGUUUGUUUAUGGUGAAUAGAGGCUUGUUGUUACAGUUCAAGACUUUGAGUUUUUUAUAUUGAUUCAAAUAACUAAUGGAAUUCGAAUAUUCGAUUAACCAGUCGGAUCAAAUUCAGUUGUUAAGUCUUCACAUCCGCCGAAUAUUUAAUCGAAUUCGAAUCAUCACUUUUACAAUCGAAUUCGAAAUCGAACUUAGUGUGAUUCGAGUCGAAUUCGCUCCGUUUACAGGCAUAGCUAUGAAGGAGAUGAAUUGGAAACAGCUAUGAAGGAUACGGAAAGGGUGAUGAAGCCAGCAUUAGGGAAAUAAUUUCAGAGGUGGAUACAGAUAACGUAAGUUUUCUCUAAACUGAAACCUGAAAGUGUCAUGCUACAGAAUUAAAAAUGGCAUUGACGCCUAUUAAACCUACAAGAUGGGAGAAUCAACUAUGAGGAGUGGAAUGCAGCAACAUGCCAAGCUAUUCUAAUUCCAGUGACAGCCAACUUUUUUUUUUUUUUUUAUUAGUGCCAAAUACAUUGGCCAAGCUAUUC